GCGGCCGUGGAGAAAUUGGCAGCCUCGCUGGCUUUAGGUGCCAGUGCGCGUGAGCGCGUGAGGGUUCGAGUCCCUCCGGCCGCACAA
rnacentral:tRNA from 1 species